rnacentral:rRNA from 1 species
CAGGGAUUGCCUCAGUAACGGCGAGUGAAGCGGCAACAGCUCAAAUUUGAAAGCUGGCUCCUUCGGGGCCCGCGUUGUAAUUUGUAGAGGAUGCUUCGGGCGCGGCACCGGUCUAAGUUCUCUGGAACGAGACGUCAUAGAGGGUGAGAAUCCCGUAUGUGACUGGCUGCCUGUGCCCAUGUGAAGCUCCUUCGACGAGUCGAGUUGUUUGGGAAUGCAGCUCAAAAUGGGAGGUGUACUCCUUCUAAAGCUAAAUAUUGGCCAGAGACCGAUAGCGCACAAGUAGAGUGAUCGAAAGAUGAAAAGCACUUUGGAAAGAGAGUUAAACAGUACGUGAAAUUGUUGAAAGGGAAGCGCUUGCAAUCAGACUUGCGCGGCGUCGAUCAGCCCGGGUUCUCCCUGGUGCACUCGGCGCCGCUCAGGCCAGCAUCAGUUUCGGCGGUGGGAUAAAGGCCUAGGGAACGUGGGUCCCCUCGGGGACCGUUAUAGCCCUAGGUGCAAUGCCGCCUGCCGGGACUGAGGACCGCGCUUCGGCUAGGAUGCUGGCGUAAUGGUUGUAAGCGACCCGUCUUGAAACACGGACCAAGGAGUCUAACAUCUAUGCGAGUGUUUGGGUGUCAAACCCAUACGCGUAAUGAAAGUGAACGGAGGUGAGAACCCUUAAGGGCGCAUCAUCGACCGAUCCUGAUGUCUUCGGAUGGAUUUGAGUAAGAGCAUAGCUGUUGGGACCCGAAAGAUGGUGAACUAUGCCUAGAUAGGGUGAAGCCAGAGGAAACUCUGGUGGAGGCUCGCAGCGGUUCUGACGUGCAAAUCGAUCGUCAAAUCUGGGUAUAGGGGCGAAAGACUAAUCGAACCAUGAGACCUAGCUUCUAGGUGGUUGGGAGGCCUGCGCGGCCUAGUCGCUCCGGCGGCGAUACUGCAAAAUUGCGGGGACCGCUCUCGAGGUUCCAGGCUACCCCAGCGCGCUCGAAAGGGCGCGCCACGGUCACAACGCCUGGGCCUGAGCCGAUCCGCAGUCCAGCCCUACGGCGCUCCGCUACGGGCUGCGAUUCAUCGACUAGAUGGCAGUGGGUACCAUGUGCCUAAGGGAUAGUCAGACCGCGGCGCCCCACGCCGCGGGCAGCUCGCUAGUAGCUGGUUCACGCCGAAGUUUCCCUCAGGAUAGCAGUGUUGUAUUCAGUUUUAUGAGGUAAAGCGAAUGAUUAGAGGCCUUGGGGAAGAAACUUCCUUAACCUAUUCUCAAACUUUAAAUAUGUAAGAAGU